AAGCCGUUCUCAGUUCGGAUCGGAGUCUGNAACCCGACUCCGUGAAGCUGGAUUCGCUAGUAAUCGCGCAUCAGCCAUGGCGCGGUGAAUACGUUCCCGGGCCUUGUACACACCGCCCGUCAAGCCAUGGAAGCCGGGGGCGCUUGAAGUGCGUUGCCGCAAGGCGCGCCCUAGAGCGAAACCGGUGACUGGGGCUAAGUCGUAACAAGGUAAC
rnacentral:rRNA from 1 species